rnacentral:rRNA from 1 species
AGCGUACACGGUGGAUGCCCUGGCAGUCAGAGGCGAUGAAGGACGUGCUAAUCUGCGAUAAGCGUCGGUGAGGUGAUAUGAACCGUUAUAACCGGCGAUUUCCGAAUGGGGAAACCCAGUGUGUUUCGACACACUAUCAUUAACUGAAUCCAUAGGUUAAUGAGGCGAACCGGGGGAACUGAAACAUCUAAGUACCCCGAGGAAAAGAAAUCAACCGAGAUUCCCCCAGUAGCGGCGAGCGAACGGGGAGGAGCCCAGAGCCUGAAUCAGUGUGUGUGUUAGUGGAAGCGUCUGGAAAGGCGCGCGAUACAGGGUGACAGCCCCGUACACAAAAAUGCACAUAUUGUGAGCUCGAUGAGUAGGGCGGGACACGUGGUAUCCUGUCUGAAUAUGGGGGGACCAUCCUCCAAGGCUAAAUACUCCUGACUGACCGAUAGUGAACCAGUACCGUGAGGGAAAGGCGAAAAGAACCCCGGCGAGGGGAGUGAAAAAGAACCUGAAACCGUGUACGUACAAGCAGUGGGAGCCUCUUAAUGGGGUGACUGCGUACCUUUUGUAUAAUGGGUCAGCGACUUAUAUUCUGUAGCAAGGUUAACCGAAUAGGGGAGCCGAAGGGAAACCGAGUCUUAACUGGGCGUUAAGUUGCAGGGUAUAGACCCGAAACCCGGUGAUCUAGCCAUGGGCAGGUUGAAGGUUGGGUAACACUAACUGGAGGACCGAACCGACUAAUGUUGAAAAAUUAGCGGAUGACUUGUGGCUGGGGGUGAAAGGCCAAUCAAACCGGGAGAUAGCUGGUUCUCCCCGAAAGCUAUUUAGGUAGCGCCUCGUGAAUUCAUCUCCGGGGGUAGAGCACUGUUUCGGCAAGGGGGUCAUCCCGACUUACCAACCCGAUGCAAACUGCGAAUACCGGAGAAUGUUAUCACGGGAGACACACGGCGGGUGCUAACGUCCGUCGUGAAGAGGGAAACAACCCAGACCGCCAGCUAAGGUCCCAAAGUCAUGGUUAAGUGGGAAACGAUGUGGGAAGGCCCAGACAGCCAGGAUGUUGGCUUAGAAGCAGCCAUCAUUUAAAGAAAGCGUAAUAGCUCACUGGUCGAGUCGGCCUGCGCGGAAGAUGUAACGGGGCUAAACCAUGCACCGAAGCUGCGGCAGCGACACUAUGUGUUGUUGGGUAGGGGAGCGUUCUGUAAGCCUGUGAAGGUGGCCUGUGAGGGUUGCUGGAGGUAUCAGAAGUGCGAAUGCUGACAUAAGUAACGAUAAAGCGGGUGAAAAGCCCGCUCGCCGGAAGACCAAGGGUUCCUGUCCAACGUUAAUCGGGGCAGGGUGAGUCGACCCCUAAGGCGAGGCCGAAAGGCGUAGUCGAUGGGAAACAGGUUAAUAUUCCUGUACUUGGUGUUACUGCGAAGGGGGGACGGAGAAGGCUAUGUUGGCCGGGCGACGGUUGUCCCGGUUUAAGCGUGUAGGCUGGUUUUCCAGGCAAAUCCGGAAAAUCAAGGCUGAGGCGUGAUGACGAGGCACUACGGUGCUGAAGCGACAAAUGCCCUGCUUCCAGGAAAAGCCUCUAAGCAUCAGGUAACAUCAAAUCGUACCCCAAACCGACACAGGUGGUCAGGUAGAGAAUACCAAGGCGCUUGAGAGAACUCGGGUGAAGGAACUAGGCAAAAUGGUGCCGUAACUUCGGGAGAAGGCACGCUGAUAUGUAGGUGAAGCGACUUGCUCGUGGAGCUGAAAUCAGUCGAAGAUACCAGCUGGCUGCAACUGUGUAUUAAAAACACAGCACUGUGCAAACACGAAAGUGGACGUAUACGGUGUGACGCCUGCCCGGUGCCGGAAGGUUAAUUGAUGGGGUUAGCGGUAACGCGAAGCUCUUGAUCGAAGCCCCGGUAAACGGCGGCCGUAACUAUAACGGUCCUAAGGUAGCGAAAUUCCUUGUCGGGUAAGUUCCGACCUGCACGAAUGGCGUAAUGAUGGCCAGGCUGUCUCCACCCGAGACUCAGUGAAAUUGAACUCGCUGUGAAGAUGCAGUGUACCCGCGGCAAGACGGAAAGACCCCGUGAACCUUUACUAUAGCUUGACACUGAACAUUGAGCCUUGAUGUGUAGGAUAGGUGGGAGGCUUUGAAGUGUGGACGCCAGUCUGCAUGGAGCCGACCUUGAAAUACCACCCUUUAAUGUUUGAUGUUCUAACGUGGGCCCCUUACCGGGGUUGCGGACAGUGUCUGGUGGGUAGUUUGACUGGGGCGGUCUCCUCCUAAAGAGUAACGGAGGAGCACGAAGGUUGGCUAAUCCUGGUCGGACAUCAGGAGGUUAGUGCAAUGGCAUAAGCCAGCUUGACUGCGAGCGUGACGGCGCGAGCAGGUGCGAAAGCAGGUCAUAGUGAUCCGGUGGUUCUGAAUGGAAGGGCCAUCGCUCAACGGAUAAAAGGUACUCCGGGGAUAACAGGCUGAUACCGCCCAAGAGUUCAUAUCGACGGCGGUGUUUGGCACCUCGAUGUCGGCUCAUCACAUCCUGGGGCUGAAGUAGGUCCCAAGGGUAUGGCUGUUCGCCAUUUAAAGUGGUACGCGAGCUGGGUUUAGAACGUCGUGAGACAGUUCGGUCCCUAUCUGCCGUGGGCGCUGGAGAACUGAGGGGGGCUGCUCCUAGUACGAGAGGACCGGAGUGGACGCAUCACUGGUGUUCGGGUUGUCAUGCCAAUGGCACUGCCCGGUAGCUAAAUGCGGAAGAGAUAAGUGCUGAAAGCAUCUAAGCACGAAACUUGCCCCGAGAUGAGUUCUCCCUGACUCCUUGA